GUGGCUAUUGUAUAACCUGGUUAUUAUAUGGGCCUGUGGCGCCUAAGAUCCGGGUUCAAAUCCCGGUAGCCACU
rnacentral:tRNA from 1 species